AGAAAAAAUACUUUAAAAAAAAUCCAAUCAAACCAUCGUGGUGAACAUGCUUUGUAAAUUAGCCCGAGGCCUUGGUGGUUCACGUUUGUAACCUUAGCAGUUUGGGAGGCCGAGGAGGGCAGACCACUUCAGGUCAGAUCGAGACCAGUCUGACCAACGUGGUGAAAUCCCGUCUGUACUAAAAAUACAAAAAUUAGCCAGGUGUGAUGGCACAUCCCUGUAAUCCCAGCUACACGGGAGGCUGAGGAAGGAGUAUCGCUUGAACCCGAGAGGUGGUGGUUGCAGUGAACUGAGAUCACGCCACUGCACUCCCAAUAAUAAAUAUAUAUAUAAAUUAACCUGAGGCGAGCUGUUAUUGUCAUUAUUAUUCCUCCUUUGCUUUAGAAAGACGCUCACCCUCCUCCCGCAGGCCCUGAGGCUUGCAGAUAAAUGUUUGCCGACUGCAAUCCCUGCAGAAGCGCUCCUCCCUUGAGCCGGCUCAGCUUGGCAACCCUGAAGAAAUCACUUAGCAAAUCGAGGAGCGCCAGCCUUCCCGCAAGACACCUCCUGCUUCCUAAAGGGAAGUCUCUAAAUCCCCCUGUAAAAAAAAUCUCAGAAAAUAAUUUUAGUCUCAUUAAUUCUGGAAACAAACAAAUGCAGAGGGAAGACGACGACCUAAAUAAAAGGACAAGGCAAAGGGGGACGCAAGGAUCCUGGAGGGGGGCGGCGACCCCACACUUGGCUACACGUACCUGGACCUGCAGAGGCAGAAAGCAUUGGGCGGAGCCCUGGCGAGGCAUUGCAGGUGCAAGGAAUGGAGACUCCCGGCCGCGUGGCCCUGCAGGUGACGUGCGUGGAGAAGAGGAGGCCAGGUUGGGGCGUCGGAGCAGUGAAGACAGCUUUCUCCUCUCUAAGGUUAAAACUGCGAGAGCACCACAGGUUUGGGGGAGCCCCCGCCUCGCAAAAUAGGGGGACUCCAAGAGGAAGAAGAGACACCUCCAAAGUAUUAGGAAAUUCCUGGCUCCGUCAUUAGCACCCUAGAGUCUUUCCAACGAGAGAUCUGCACUCCCUCUUAGGAGGUGAAACUCCUCCACAAACUGCUUUGGCCACUGGGUUCAUACUUCCAUAGUCACAGAAGCUAUCGCCUUCCCUGCCUCCCCUUCCCUCCCUCAAUCCUGGAGGCAGGCAGCCGUGGGCACUGGCGCUGAAGGAGCUAGAGGAGGUAGUCAGCACCCCUGCCUCAGUACCCUGGAUCUAAUGUGGAGGGAAGUAAAGAAACCUUUAUAGGCCAGGCACAGUGGCUCACGCCUGUAAUCCUAGCAUUUUUGGGAGGCUGAAGUGGGCAGAUCACCUGAGGUCAAGAGUUCGAGACCAGCCUGGUCCAUACGGAAAAACCCCAUCUCUACUAAAAAUACAAAAAUCAGCCAGGCAUGGUGGCGUGCACCUGUAAUUCCAGCUACUCUGGAGGCCGAGGCAGGAGAAUCACUUGAACCCAGGAGGCAGAGGUUGCAGUGAUUGAGAUCACACCACUGCACUCCAGCCUGGGUGGCAGAGCAAGACUCCAUCUCAAAAAAAAGGAAAAGAAAAAAAGAAACUUUUAUAGGGUGGCUUGGUGGCAUCCAUUUUCAGCAAGGACUCAGAACCUUUCUUUCCAAAUUGGUUAUGCCCUUUUUUGUUUGUUUGAAACCUGAAGUUUGCAAAAUCCUUCAAGGAUCUACGUCGCAAACCUAGAUUUAUAUUUUUGUUUUUGUUUUGAGGCGGAGUCUUGCUCUAUCACCAGGCUGUAGUAGCACGAUCUCGGUUCACUACAACCUCUGUCUCCUGGGUUCAAGUGAUUCUCCUGCCUCAGCCUUCCACAUAGCUGGUACUACAGGCACACGCCACCACACCCAGCUAAUUUUUUGUACUUUAGUAGAGACAGGGUUUCACCAUGUUGG
rnacentral:lncRNA from 13 species